rnacentral:rRNA from 1 species
AGAGUUUGAUCCUGGCUCAGAACGAACGCUGGCGGCGCGUCUUAAGCAUGCAAGUCGAACGGCAAGAGAGAAGCUUGCUUCUCUCCUAGAGUGGCGGACUGGUGAGGAACACGUGGGUAAUCUACCCUUAAGAUGGGGAUAGCUGCUAGAAAUAGCAGGUAAUACCGAAUACGCUCGGCAUUUCACAAGAGAUGUUGAGGAAAGGAAGCUACGGCUUCGCUUGAGGAUGAGCUUGCGUCCCAUUAGCUAGUUGGUGAGGUAAAGGCCCACCAAGGCGACGAUGGGUAUCCGGCCUGAGAGGGUGAUCGGACACAUUGGGACUGAGAUACGGCCCAAACUCCUACGGGAGGCAGCAGCUAAGAAUAUUCCGCAAUGGACGGAAGUCUGACGGAGCGACGCCGCGUGGAUGAAGAAGGCUGAAAAGUUGUAAAAUCCUUUUGUUGAUGAAGAAUAAGGGUGAGAGGGAAUGCUCAUCUGAUGACGGUAAUCGACGAAUAAGCCCCGGCUAAUUACGUGCCAGCAGCCGCGGUAACACGUAAGGGGCGAGCGUUGUUCGGAAUUAUUGGGCGUAAAGGGCAUGUAGGCGGUUGUGUAAGCCUGGUGUGAAAUCCUGGGGCUUAACCCCAGAAUAGCAUUGGGUACUGCACAACUUGAAUUACGGAAGGGAAACUGGAAUUCCAAGUGUAGGGGUGGAAUCUGUAGAUAUUUGGAAGAACACCGGUGGCGAAGGCGGGUUUCUGGCCGAUAAUUGACGCUGAGAUGCGAAAGUGUGGGGAUCGAACAGGAUUAGAUACCCUGGUAGUCCACACUGUAAACGAUGUACACUA